AUUGAACGCUGGCGGCAUGCUUUACACAUGCAAGUCGAACGGCAGCGCGGGCUUCGGCCUGGCGGCGAGUGGCGAACGGGUGAGUAAUACAUCGGAACGUGCCCAGUAGUGGGGGAUAGCUCGGCGAAAGCCGGAUUAAUACCGCAUACGACCUGAGGGUGAAAGCGGGGGAUCUUCGGACCUCGCGCUAUUGGAGCGGCCGAUGGCAGAUUAGCUAGUUGGUGGGGUAAAGGCCUACCAAGGCGACGAUCUGUAGCUGGUCUGAGAGGACGACCAGCCACACUGGGACUGAGACACGGCCCAGACUCCUACGGGAGGCAGCAGUGGGGAAUUUUGGACAAUGGGCGAAAGCCAGAUCCAGCAAUGCCGCGUGUGUGAUGAAGGCCUUCGGGUUGUAAAGCACUUUUGGCGGGAACGAAAAGGACUGUGCCAAUACCACGGUUCGAUGACGGUACCCGCAGAAUAAGCACCGGCUAACUACGUG
rnacentral:rRNA from 1 species